UUAGAUAAAGAACCAAUAUUUUUGGUGACUCAUAAUAACUUUACGGAUCACAUUAUGUGACAUAUCAUUCAAGUUUCUGACCUAUCAGCUUUAGACGGUAGGGUAUUGGCCUACCGUGGCUAUGACGGGUAACGGGGAAUUAGGGUUCGAUUCCGGAGAGGGAGCCUGAGAAACGGCUACCACAUCUAAGGAAGGCAGCAGGCGCGCAAAUUACCCAAUCCUAAUACAGGGAGGUAGUGACAAGAAAUAACAAUACAGAACCUUACGGUUUUGUAAUUGGAAUGAGUUAAGUAUAAACCCCUUAACAAGUAUCAAUUGGAGGGCAAGUCUGGUGCCAGCAGCCGCGGUAAUUCCAGCUCCAAUAGCGUAUAUUAAAGUUGUUGCAGUUAAAAAGCUCGUAGUUAAUCUUCUGUUAAUUUUUAUAUAUAAUAUUUCGAUAUUUAUAUAAUAUUAACAUAAUUCAUAUUACUUUUUAGUAUAUGAAACUUUACUUUGAGAAAAUUAGAGUGCUUAAAGCAGGCUAUUGCCUUGAAUACUCCAGCAUGGAAUAAUAUUAAGGAUUUUUAUUCUUCUUAUUGGUUCUAGAAUAAAAAUGAUGAUUAAUAGGAACAGUUGGGGGCAUUUGUAUUUAACAGUCAGAGGUGAAAUUCUUAGAUUUGUUAAAGACAAACUACUGCGAAAGCAUUUGCCAAGGAUGUUUUCAUUAAUCAAGAACGAAAGUUAGGGGAUCGAAGACGAUCAGAUACCGUCGUAGUCUAAC
rnacentral:rRNA from 1 species